UGUCUCCUCCAACUCCCUCCAAGGAUUGGAUUUAACCCGCCCCAGUUGGCGGGUUUUUUUUG
rnacentral:ncRNA from 1 species